rnacentral:rRNA from 1 species
CGCGUAGGCGGUUUAUUAAGUUGCAUGUGAAAUCCCAGGGCUCAACUCUGGACCUGCAUGCAAAACUGGUAGACUUGAGUAUGGCAGAGGCAAGUGGAAUUCCUAGUGUAGCGGUGGAAUGCGUAGAUAUUAGGAGGAACACCAGUGGCGAAGGCGACUUGCUGGGCCAAAACUGACGCUGAGGCGCGAAAGCGUGGGGAGCAGACA